ACUAGCGCGGUGGUCCCACCUGACCCCAUGCCGAACUCAGAAGUGAAACGCCGUAGCGCCGAUGGUAGUGUGGAGUGUCCCCAUGUGAGUGUAGGGAACUGCCAGGC
rnacentral:rRNA from 1 species